UACAGAGGGGGCAAGCGUUGUUCGGAAUUACUGGGCGUAAAGGGCGCGUAGGCGGCCUGCUAAGUCGAACGUGAAAUCCCCGGGCUCAACCCGGGAACUGCGUCCGAUACUGGCAGGCUUGAACCCGGGAGAGGGAUGCGGAAUUCCAGGUGUAGCGGUGAAAUGCGUAGAGAUCAUGAGGAAGACCAGUGGCGAAGGCGGGUCUCUGGACAGUUCCUGACACUGAGACACGAAGGCCAGGGGAGCAAACGGG
rnacentral:rRNA from 1 species